GAUGAAGAACGCAGCGAAAUGCGAUACUUGGUGUGAAUUGCAGAAUCCCGUGAACCAUCGAGUCUUUGAACGCAAGUUGCGCCCGAAGCCAUUAGGCCGAGGGCACGCCUGCCUGGGCGUCACACGUCGUUGCCCCCCCAUCUACUCCUUCGGGAUUGCGGGGGGCGGAUGAUAGCCUCUCGUGCGCCUCGUCGCGCGGUUGGCCUAAAUGCCAAGUCCUCGGCGACGCACGCCACGACAAUCGGUGGUUGCGAAACCUCGGUUGCCUGUCGUGUGCGGUCGUCGCGCAUCGAGGGCUCGAAAAAAUUGCCGGGCUUCGGCUCGACUUUCAACGCGACCCCAGGUCAGGCGGGGUUACCCGCUGAAUUUAAGCAUAUCAAUAAGCGGAGGA
rnacentral:misc_RNA from 1 species